GACCGCUCUGGUGGCCUAGUGGUUAGAGCAUCCGCCUUGGAUGCGGAACUGGUCAUGGGUUCGAUCCCCGGUUGAGUCA